AUGAAUCAGGUGACGUCCUUGCCGUCAGGGGGCUCUCAUCUUGCAGACACAGGACACAACAGAGCAGGAACAUGGGGUGAUUAAUGUUGUAAAAACAGCCAUGCAGCCACCGUAGGCAUUCCGCCUUGUGAGACAGAGACUGAUUCCUUGGAAGUACCUCUUCUCAGCCAGUAUGGGGUCUUCGUUGCUGUGCAGAAGAGUCCUUCCAUCCCCAACUCCUGCACCAAGCAAGUUUCCAGAACUUCCCAAUGCUGAUGAAGUCGAGUAAAGAAUUUUUUCAGGCCAGUCUCAAUUCAACCAACCUCUUAUGCCGAACAUGUUUAAGACACGCUGGAGUAUCUGGUGGAGGACAUUGGCAGCUGGAGCCUUCCGGAACUUGCUGCCAUUACUGAAACAAGAGAAAACAAUUGGAACCAGCUAACUGUCCAUCAGUAGGGGAUUGGUUACAUAAUUUAUGAUACAACCAUUUAUAGGGAAACAAUACAAAGUUCUCUAUUUACAAAUAUGGGAAGAUCUCCAAGUGAAAAAAGGCAGGUGCAGCACAGUGACUAUGGGCUGCUUUUAUAUAAAAAUAGAGUAUAAUAAAAUGUUAUAUUCUUACUA